rnacentral:rRNA from 1 species
UACGAAGGGGGCUAGCGUUGUUCGGAAUUACUGGGCGUAAAGCGCACGUAGGCGGACUAUUAAGUCAGGGGUGAAAUCCCGGGGCUCAACCCCGGAACUGCCUUUGAUACUGGUAGUCUCGAGUCCGGAAGAGGUGAGUGGAAUUCCGAGUGUAGAGGUGAAAUUCGUAGAUAUUCGGAGGAACACCAGUGGCGAAGGCGGCUCACUGGUCCGGUACUGACGCUGAGGUGCGAAAGCAAGGGGAUCAAACAGG